rnacentral:rRNA from 1 species
AUUGAACGCUGGCGGCAGGCCUAACACAUGCAAGUCGAGCGGAUGAAGGGAGCUUGCUCCUGGAUUCAGCGGCGGACGGGUGAGUAAUGCCUAGGAAUCUGCCUGGUAGUGGGGGAUAACGUCCGGACACGGGCGCUAAUACCGCAUACGUCCUGAGGGAGAAAGUGGGGGAUCUUCGGACCUCACGCUAUCAGAUGAGCCUAGGUCGGAUUAGCUAGUUGGUGGGGUAAAGGCCUACCAAGGCGACGAUCCGUAACUGGUCUGAGAGGAUGAUCAGUCACACUGGCACUGAGACACGGUCCAGACUCCUACGGGAGGCAGCAGUGGGGAAUAUUGGACAAUGGGCGAAAGCCUGAUCCAGCAAUGCCGCGUGUGUGAAGAAGGUCUUCGGAUUGUAAAGCACUUUAAGUUGGGAGGAAGGGUAGUAAGAUUAUACCUUACUGUUUUGACGUUACCAAAAGAAUAAGCACCGGCUAACUUCGUG